rnacentral:rRNA from 1 species
GAAGGUGUGUCGUGAGGCAUGCUGGAGGUAUCAGAAGUGCGAAUGCUGACAUAAGUAACGAUAAAGCGGGUGAAAAGCCCGCUCGCCGGAAGACCAAGGGUUCCUGUCCAACGUUAAUCGGGGCAGGGUGAGUCGACCCCUAAGGCGAGGCCGAAAGGCGUAGUCGAUGGGAAACGGGUUAAUAUUCCCGUACUUGGUGUUACUGCGAAGGGGGGACGGAGAAGGCUAUGUUGGCCGGGCGACGGUUGUCCCGGUUUAAGCGUGUAGGUGUGUGUUCCAGGUAAAUCCGGUUCACUUUAACACUGAGGCGUGACGACGAGGCACUACGGUGCUGAAGCAACAAAUGCCCUGCUUCCAGGAAAAGCCUCUAAGCAUCAGGUAACAUCAAAUCGUACCCCAAACCGACACAGGUGGUCAGGUAGAGAAUACCAAGGCGCUUGAGAGAACUCGGGUGAAGGAACUAGGCAAAAUGGUGCCGUAACUUCGGGAGAAGGCACGCUGACACGUAGGUGAAGUGAUUUACUCAUGGAGCUGAAGUCAGUCGAAGAUACCAGCUGGCUGCAACUGUUUAUUAAAAACACAGCACUGUGCAAACACGAAAGUGGACGUAUACGGUGUGACGCCUGCCCGGUGCCGGAAGGUUAAUUGAUGGGGUCAGCGCAAGCGAAGCUCCUGAUCGAAGCCCCGGUAAACGGCGGCCGUAACUAUAACGGUCCUAAGGUAGCGAAAUUCCUUGUCGGGUAAGUUCCGACCUGCACGAAUGGCGUAAUGAUGGCCAGGCUGUCUCCACCCGAGACUCAGUGAAAUUGAACUCGCUGUGAAGAUGCAGUGUACCCGCGGCAAGACGGAAAGACCCCGUGAACCUUUACUAUAGCUUGACACUGAACAUUGAGCCUUGAUGUGUAGGAUAGGUGGGAGGCUUUGAAGCGUGGACGCCAGUCUGCGUGGAGCCGACCUUGAAAUACCACCCUUUAAUGUUUGAUGUUCUAACGUGGACCCGUGAUCCGGGUUGCGGACAGUGUCUGGUGGGUAGUUUGACUGGGGCGGUCUCCUCCUAAAGAGUAACGGAGGAGCACGAAGGUUGGCUAAUCCUGGUCGGACAUCAGGAGGUUAGUGCAAUGGCAUAAGCCAGCUUGACUGCGAGCGUGACGGCGCGAGCAGGUGCGAAAGCAGGUCAUAGUGAUCCGGUGGUUCUGAAUGGAAGGGCCAUCGCUCAACGGAUAAAAGGUACUCCGGGGAUAACAGGCUGAUACCGCCCAAGAGUUCAUAUCGACGGCGGUGUUUGGCACCUCGAUGUCGGCUCAUCACAUCCUGGGGCUGAAGUAGGUCCCAAGGGUAUGGCUGUUCGCCAUUUAAAGUGGUACGCGAGCUGGGUUUAGAACGUCGUGAGACAGUUCGGUCCCUAUCUGCCGUGGGCGCUGGAGAACUGAGGGGGGCUGCUCCUAGUACGAGAGGACCGGAGUGGACGCAUCACUGGUGUUCGGGUUGUCAUGCCAAUGGCACUGCCCGGUAGCUAAAUGCGGAAGAGAUAAGUGCUGAAAGCAUCUAAGCACGAAACUUGCCCCGAG